GACAGAGGUCCCGAGCGUUAGGCGGAAUCACUGGGCUUAAAGCGUGUGUAGGCGGAUUGGUAAGUACCUUGUGAAAUCCCACGGCUUAACCGUGGAACUGCUUGGUAUACUGCUUAUCUUGGGCCACUUAGGGGUUACCGGAACAAACGGUGGAGCGGUGAAAUGCGUAGAUAUCGUUUGGAACGCCAAUGGUGAAAACAGGUUGCUGGGAGUGUGCUGACGCUGAGACACGAAAGCCAGGGGAGCAAACGGG
rnacentral:rRNA from 1 species